UUAGCGGCGGACGGGUGAGUAACACGUGGAUAACCUACCUAUAAGACUGGGAUAACUUCGGGAAACCGGAGCUAAUACCGGAUAAUAUUUUGAACCGCAUGGUUCAAAAGUGAAAGACGGUCUUGCUGUCACUUAUAGAUGGAUCCGCGCUGCAUUAGCUAGUUGGUAAGGUAACGGCUUACCAAGGCAACGAUGCAUAGCCGACCUGAGAGGGUGAUCGGCCACACUGGAACUGAGACACGGUCCAGACUCCUACGGGAGGCAGCAGUAGGGAAUCUUCCGCAAUGGGCGAAAGCCUGACGGAGCAACGCCGCGUGAGUGAUGAAGGUCUUCGGAUCGUAAAACUCUGUUAUUAGGGAAGAACAUAUGUGUAAGUAACUGUGCACAUCUUGACGGUACCUAAUCAGAAAGCCACGGCUAACUACGUGCCAGCAGCCGCGGUAAUACG
rnacentral:rRNA from 1 species